AGCUUUGCGCAGAGGCGGUGUCGCACGCAAUGAAGUGAUAACUGAGGGGCGACUAUUGCUAGUUGAACAUAGUUAUAGAAACCUAUGUCAUUAUGCAGGCAUUUGUAAGAAGUUUUUUUUUUUUAACCAGCAAACAAGCA